AGAGUUUGAUCCUGGCUCAGGAUGAACGCUAGCGGCAGGCCUAAUACAUGCAAGUCGAGGGGCAGCGCGAAUAGCAAUAUUUGGUGGCGACCGGCGCACGGGUGCGUAACGCGUAUAGAACCUACCUUUUACAGAGGGAUAGCCCAGAGAAAUUUGGAUUAAUACCUCAUAAUAUUGUUGAAUGGCAUCAUUUGACAAUUAAAGUUUCGGCGGCAAAAGAUGGCUAUGCGUCCUAUUAGUUAGUUGGUGAGGUAAAGGCUCACCAAGGCGACGAUCCGUAGCGGGUCUGAGAGGACGACCCGCCACACUGGAACUGAGACACGGUCCAGACUCCUACGGGAGGCAGCAGUGAGGAAUAUUGGUCAAUGGACGCAAGUCUGAACCAGCCAUGCCGCGUGCAGGAUGACGGCCUUAUGGGUUGUAACUGCUUUUGUCAGGGAAUAAACCCUUGUUUGCGAACAAGGCUGAGGUACCUGAAGAAUAAGCAUCGGCUAACUCCGUGCCAGC
rnacentral:rRNA from 1 species